rnacentral:rRNA from 1 species
UUGCCCCGAGAUGAGUUCUCCCUGAGACUUUAGGUCUCCUGAAGGAACGUUGAAGACGACAACGUUGAUAGGCCGGGUGUGUAAGCGCAGCGAUGCGUUGAGCUAACCGGUACUAAUGAACCGUGAGGCUUAACCUU